rnacentral:rRNA from 1 species
UACGUAGGUGACAAGCGUUGUCCGGAUUUACUGGGCGUAAAGAGCUUGUAGGCGGUUUGUCGCGUCUGCUGUGAAAUUUCGGGGCUCAACCCCGAACUUGCAGUGGGUACGGGCAGACUAGAGUGUGGUAGGGGAGACUGGAAUUCCUGGUGUAGCGGUGAAAUGCGCAGAUAUCAGGAGGAACACCGGUGGCGAAGGCGGGUCUCUGGGCCGAUACUGACGCUGAGGAGCGAAAGCAUGGGGAGCGAACAGG